AGUCGAACGGUAACAGGUCUUCGGAUGCUGACGAGUGGCGCACGGGUGCGUAACGCGUAUGCAAUCUACCCUUUUCUGGAGAAUAGCCCUUGGAAACGAGGAAUAAUACUCCAUAGUAUAACGAUUUCGCAUGUUAUUGUUAUUAAAGCUUCGGCGGAAAAGGAUGAGCAUGCGUCCCAUUAAUUUGUUGGUGAGGUAAUGGCUCACCAAGACUACGAUGGGUAGGGGGCCUGAGAGGGUUAUCCCCCACACUGGUACUGAGACACGGACCAGACUCCUACGGGAGGCAGCAGUGAGGAAUAUUGGUCAAUGGACGAAAGUCUGAACCAGCCAUGCCGCGUGCAGGAUGACGGCCCUAUGGGUUGUAAACUGCUUUUAUAUAGGAAGAAACCUCUCUACGUGUAGAGAGCUGACGGUACUAUAAGAAUAAGGACCGGCUAACUCCGUGCCAGCAGCCGCGGUAAUACGGAGGGUCCAAGCGUUAUCCGGAUUUAUUGGGUUUAAAGGGUACGUAGGCGGAACUUUAAGUCAGUAGUGAAGUCCCAUCGCUCAACGAUGGAACUGCUAUUGAAACUGGAAUUCUUGAAUAUAGUUGAAGUAGGCGGAAUACGACAUGUAGCGGUGAAAUGCAUAGAUAUGUCGUGGAACACCAAUCGCGAAGGCAGCUUACUAAGCUAUUAUUGACGCUAAGGUACGAAAGCGUGGGUAGCGAACAGGAUUAGAUACCCUGGUAGUCCACGCCGUAAACGAUGAUUACUCGGUGCUGGCGAUACACAGUCAGUGCCUAAGCGAAAGUGAUAAGUAAUCCACCUGGGGAGUACGAUCGCAAGGUUGAAACUCAAAGGAAUUGACGGGGG
rnacentral:rRNA from 1 species